ACAUGGUGGGGGGAGAGCAGGAGUGCUUAUUAGGGUGCUGUCAGACCUCAGUGUGGAAUUCCGCUUCUCACAGUUGGCCAUAAUCAAUCAGUCAGACUCUCUCUCUCCUCCCUUCUGCCUCUCCCUUUCUUUCCCUGGUUGAAGGGGCCCUCUUAAAUCGCUCUUGAGCCUGCAUUCUAAUUUAAUCUCUCUCCCACGUGAAAUCCACUUCUCCCAGCUAAGCUGCGUUUUGCAGCUUUAUGACGGUACCGAAAGCACUUUAUUUCCACUUAAAGAGCUGCCUGUUCUAUUUACCAUCACUCUCAGGGUACUUAACCUCAUUUAAAAGGCUGACUUUCCCCUGCAUUAUAAAGUUGAUCGGGAGUCUCAAAGCCUCUUUCUCUGCCCAGCCCGCAGCCAGCUCUCUCCAGCCACCCUAGCCUCGCCCUCACCCCUCCCAGACUCUGUUCCAAGGCCCAGGCGCGCUCCGCGUGGGCGACGUAUCCCUGAGCGCUCCGCCUCCGGCCAGCCUGACCGCUCCGUGCUCGGUGUCACUCCUGGCACGUCUCCACAUUCCUAAAAUCCCAGAGAGGACCUCGAAAUAGGAUAAAAAAACGAGAAUUUAAAUACGAAGCAACAGCCCUUGCAGGGCUGCCUGCUCUGGCUGGGAAGGGCCUGGGCCUCCGCCUCCACCUGAGACGCUUGUUUCCUGCGCGGUUUUGCAACGUCAGAGCCGUCCACACUCGCAGGCCAUUUUUAGCGGCCUGUUGGAAGGGGAAGACAGUGAAGUCGGCCUAAGCAGAGCAAUGCUUUGCCCUCUGAGAGGCGAGGAGGACCCUUGGGAAGCUCAGAGAGCUACGAUAAAAUGGCUAAACGACCUUCCUCUCCUCCAAGUCACCAAAUACGAGCCAGGUAAAGCUUCCCAGACAGGAGGCCUGGGCAGAUGCUGAAACACACCGGACUCUUGGAUGGGCCUGGCCCCGGACAGCCUGCUGGGGUCCCGCCCACCCUGUCACUCCACCACUUUCUCAUCCAAGGUGCUCUCUAAGUGCUGCCUAUAGAUAAUCUCAUUUAAUCCAAUCCCCUUAGAAGGUAAGUACAGUCAUCUCUCAGUAUCUAUGGGAGACUGGUACCCACUGCAAAUACUAAAGUCCACGGACUCUCAAAUCUCAUAUAAAAUGGUGUGAUGUUUGCAUAUGACCUAUGCAUAGCCUCCUGUAUAUGUUAAAUCAUCUCUAGAUUACUUAUGACACCUAAUACAGUGUAAAUGCAAUAUUUGUUAUACUGUACUGUUCAUUACAUACAGUGGCAAAAAAAAAGUCUGUACAUGUUCAGUGCAGACUCAAUCAUUUAUUUUUUUCCCCCCAAAUAUCUUGUAUCUGAGGUUGGUUGAAUUCAUGGAUGCAGAACCUGUAGAUAUGGAGGACCAACUGUAUUAUUGUUGUUUCUAUUUUAUAGGAGAGUAAUUGGAGGCUCAGAGAGGUUAAGUAAUGCACCCUAGGUCACACAGCUAGUAACUAGAAGAGAGGAUUCUAACUUAGGCAAAGUCCAGAAUUUGUGCUUCGGGACUACUAGGCUAUACGGUCUCUAAAUGACUAGCAAUCUCCAACAAGUGUGCUUUGACUCCUCCAAAAAUGACCUGCUACCCCUCAGUAAAAGCAGCCAAUAGCAGGCUCUGUGUUAAGGCCCUGGUCAGUAGUUGCUGUUGGCUACGAAGGUGGCAUUGUGCUAUGGUGCCUGAUGGCCCCAGAAGUGUUGAAAUCCAGGCUGAAUCCUGGCACUGGUAUGAAUCAGGGGUUUCAGUCUGAAGGUGGUUUGAGUCCGUGGGUUCGGGCUGAGCGCACUGAUAUUGACAGUACUGUUGUGAGUAUCUGGCUUAGUUAGUCAUCCCAGCGACAUUCCUCAGGAUGGGCUUGGAUUUGUGGGGGGAAAAGGGCACCAGCGGGGGAGAGGUUUUGUGCCAGGUUGGAGGGUCUGCAGCCUGGAAUCACGUGGGAAGCACUGGAGUAAUCCGUCUCCAAAGCGGCAUAGGCAGACCCCAGCACCACAGAGCUCAGCCCACAGAGCAACCCACGGCAGGGGAAGGCUCUCCAGGCUGCAGACCUCACUCUUUGGUGGUUAGCGAAGGAUAAGAGGACCCUUAAAAGAUCCUAAAACAUAGAACAGAGAUGAAGAGUUCCUGAGCAGAGAAUGAUCAGGUACCUGCAAUGGAGCCUGUAAAAGGAAGGAGUAUUGAGAACAUCUCAGAAGCCAAAGCAGGUGAGUGCAAAUUGGAAGAGAGGUCAAGGGGUGGGAGCAGAGGGAGGGAACUGCCUGUGAUGUACUGAACUGUGUCCCCGCUAAAAUUCCUAUGGUGGACCCCCAACUCCCAGUACCUCAGACUGUGACUGUGUUUGGAGAUAGGGCCUUGAAAGAAGUGAUUAAAGUGAAAUGAGGUCAUAGGGUGGCCCUAGCUCAAUCUGGUCUCCUUCUAAGAAGAGGAGAUGAGGACACAGGCACAGAAGAAAGGCCAUGUGUGGACACAGGGAGAAGAUGCCAUAUACAAGGCAAGGAGAGAUCUCAGGAGAGACCGAUCCUGACGACAACUUGAUCUCAGACUUCCAGCCUCCAGGACUGUGAAACUUUACAUUUCUGCUGUUGAAGCCACAGUCUGUGGUACUACGGCCGGGCAGCCCCAGCUGAUGAAUAUGCCGCCCUUCUCACCUCUCCAGGGCCAGUUGGUGUCUUAUGGAGCUGCCUUUAGGACUCACAGGUGUAAGAUGUGCUCCUGGAAAACUGCUAUCGCCUUUUACAAAGAGGGACAUUUGGUCCAUUUCCACUCAAAUGCAUAAACACUGCAAUCUCCCAGUGCUUGUUCAUUGGUUCACUUGUUUACCAAGUUCCUCUGAUGGCAACCCCAGUCCACAUAAUUAUGUGCCCCUUGCCAGCCCUGUUCUUACGACUCAAAGAUGUGUGCUGGUGGAGUACUGGCACAGGAGGUGAGGGGCGUGUGGCAUCCUUUGGGAUACCAGGAGGGAAAUAUCAGUGGCAUCUGGGUAGAGUGGCCUUUUCCAGGGGGAAGGAAGCCUGAGUGUGGUUCAGCCCGAGGCGGGCUGUUUCUGAAUGUUGGACGGGGGGGUUUGUGGUCACUGCUGAAAAGCAGCAGGAAACGGCCAUGCCAGUCCAGCAUGAGCAACUGAGCUCCCCGUUCCUACAGAACACUGAUCUUGUCCCAUGCGGGCCAUGCAUGUGACCCGGGGGCAGGGCUGUGGGGUCUGGGCUGUGCAGGCAUCCAUGGGCACGUGGUCAUAGAGACUAGACUCCACCUCUCUGUCUCUCAUUCCACAUGGGACUGAGGCUGGGAGAGGGGUCAGAACUGCCAUUCCGGGUUGGGGACAGAGAGCCCACGGUUCCAGAGAGAGGGACACCGAGUAUCAGCCAGUGAGCUGCAGCCACGACCCAGGGGCUCAUAUCUCACUGGCAGGAGUCUCAGCCCUGCUGCUGGCAUAGCCAGGCGUGAAGUGGGGGGCUCCAGACACGGCUCCCUGCCCUCUGGAUUCAGGGCUGUUCCCAGCUACCUGAGCAUGUCAGUUCUUCGGGCAGCCAUCUCUGCCUGAAACCCAGAACUUCCUCCACAGUGAGCUGGGACCUAUCCCCACCUGCUCCCCACUUGUGUGACACUCUCGAAGCUCAUGAAGCAAGCGUUUAAGGCAGUUUGGGUUAGAAAGCCUUACAUCUCAAAAAAUAAUAGGUUCCCUGACACCUCACCUGGGCCCAACUAUUGAGAAUUCCAUUUGGCUGGUUCUGUGUAGUUCUUCAAACCUUGGCAUGCUUAUUUCACUUGUUGGGAUAGACAGAUCAAUAAGGUUGCUGAUCCCACCACUGGGGACAGCGGCGUCCACCAGGGACUGGCAUAUUCCGGUGAGCUCUCAUGGUGGGUUCUGGGUAUCCACUGUACGGUUUUUCGUUUGAGGUUACCAUGAGGCUUGCAAAUACUACCUUAUAAUCCAUUAUUUUAA